CUUUAAGUUUCAGUCUUGCGACCGUACUUCCCAGGCGGCAGACUUAACGGCUUCCCUGCGGCACAGCAUUGGCAAAAAGCCAACGCUUCACCGAGUCUGCAUCGUUUACAGCUGGGACUACCCGGGUAUCUAAUCCGGUUUGCUCCCCCAGCUUUCAUCCCUCACUGUCGAACGUGUUCUGGCAGACCGCCUUCGCCACUGGUGGUCCUCAAAGGAUCAGAGGAUUUUACCCCUACCCCUCGAAUACCGUCUGCCUCUCCCACUCCCUAGUCUUGUAGUAUCUCCAGCGGCCCAUCUGUUGAGCAGGUGGAUUUAACCGGAGACUUGCAAGACCAGCUACGGAUGCUUUAGGCCCAAUAAUCGUCCUGACCACUCGAGGUGCUGGUAUUACCGCGGCGGCUGACA
rnacentral:rRNA from 1 species